rnacentral:rRNA from 1 species
UACGGAGGGUGCAAGCGUUGCUCGGAAUUAUUGGGCGUAAAGGGUAGGUAGGUGGUCUCAUUUGUCUGGGGUGAAAGCCUUGAGCUUAACUCAAGAAGUGCCCCAGAAACGGUGAGACUAGAGUCCUGGAGAGGGUCGUGGAAUUCCCGGUGUAGCGGUGAAAUGCGUAGAUAUCUGGAGGAAUACCGGUGGCGAAGGCGGCAUUCUGGACCGACAUUGACACUAAAGCGCGAAAGCCAGGGGAGCAAACGGG